rnacentral:rRNA from 1 species
GAUGAACGCUGGCGGCGUGCCUAAUACAUGCAAGUCGAACGAAGCGGGGACGGGUGAGUAACACGUGGAUAACCUCCUAUAAGACUGGGAUAACUUCGGGAAACCGGAGCUAAACCGGAUACUUAUAGAUGGAUCCGCGCUGCCUUAUCUCGUGGGUAAGGUAAUGGCUUACCAAGGCAACGAUGAAGACCCGACCUGAGAGGGUGUUCGUUCACUCUGGCACUGAGACCCGUCCUAUACCCCUACGGGAGGCAUCAUUAGGGAAUCUUCCGUAAUGGGCGAAAGCCUUACGGAGCAACGCCGCGUGAGUGAUGAAGUUCUUCGGAUCUUAAAACUCUGUUAUUAGGGAAGCGGUACCUAAUCAGAAAGCCACGGCUAACUACGUGCCAGCAGCCGCGGUAAUAC